GCUUCUUUUUAUUGUCAGCACAGCUACAGUUCAGUGCAGACUACCCAGUGACAGUUGCAUUGCUUUCAUUUAAUUAUCUUAGCAAUGUGCUUUAGGAAUACCUAAUUAAUGAGUAAGUACACUGGUACUAAAAGCAUGACUGGUCAAAUAAGUAUUCAUUAAGUCUCAGUCUCUGCUUCCAUGUCUUUUCUUUCUUCUUACUAUAUUUUCCACCUUUUGAAGUUCCUCUCUCUCAAAACGCUGCAAAGUGUGUUGCAAGAACCCACAUUCAGAUUCACAGUAGCCCCAAGAAGACGUUUCUGUUGCCUUCAACAUUUUAGGCCCCAGUCAGCUGCCUGUGGGAAGUUUCAUAAACCACCAGGAGGACAGCUCCACCAGUGAGGACCCUGAGGAGAAACCUACUUCAAAACUAAAGAUGAGUAACAGCUUCAGAAGAAAGAGGAGGCAGGUCGUCCAACAUCAGGCACAGCAAGAAGAGCUAAAAAGACUCCACAGGGCCCAGAAAAAAGUGCCAGAAGGGGGCAGUCCAGCUCUAACCUGGAUUUCUAGCUCUAAUUUGGACACAGAUUGAAAUGUUGAGAAAGAUGGAGGAAUGGUAGUGAAUGGCAGCUGCAUUGUGUAACAUUCUUUUAGCAGAACAGCAUAACCUGCUUUGGUAGAAAAUUAUCUGAUUUUGUCUAUUGUAACAGGUCAUCCUUAAAAAAAAAAAAAUAAAUCUCUAAUAAUCAUAAUAAAAAAAAAAAUUACAAGCUCACCAAAAAAACCCAAAACACAAACACUGAUUUACCCUAUGGCUUAUGCCAGUAAUUAUACAGCGAUAAUUUGUAAUUAUCGCUGAUUUGAUAUGGGUGUCUAGUUUAAUGAUCUACUGUAAAUAGCAGCAGAUCUAAAUAUAUCGCCACCCUAAAUCAAACCUUAUUUUUCACAGACCUCAUUUCACUAUUAAAGUGCUGGUAUUAAAUAUAAAAUGGUUGGAUUAUUAUAAUAGACUCAUGAUUUAUAGCUGUUCAAUAUGAUACAUAUAUACUACAUCGCUUUUUAUUUUGCUGGCAGAUUUCAGAUUGUAGCCCAAAUGAUAAAACACACUGAGCUCAUGAUACUGUAAGUAUAAGACAGAGGACAUAAGUUGAAGAAUUGAUUGUGUUUCUCCAAACCCUUUCACACACUCUCAUUCAUAGUCACUCUCAGUAAAUCAACAGUGAGUGCUUAACUAACCUCUGAAUCCCACAAUGCCCAAGAUCUGGAGCUUGAGGGCUGUCAAAGCUGGCUGCAGCAGAGGCUACACAAGAGAAUGGCCUCUGAUGAUAGUGCUUUGACAAUUAGGAAAAGCAAAUAUGCUGACUAUUACAAGAUUGUUUUGGCGGUUUUAAAAAAAAAAAAAUGACAUGGACGAUAUUGUUAAAUUUGAUGAGCUCUGGGGAAAUAAGCGAGGUACAAUCAGCUUUAGCAAUGUCUGAAUUUAAGCCAGAAGAAAGUAUAAAAUGCUGUUGUUACCUAACAAGUCUGUGUUGAAAAUAUUAUUUUUUUGUAAAAUGUUAUACAAAAUACUCUGUGACAGUGUUUCCAUUUUCUCUUGUGUUGCUUUACUUAGCCUAAAUCUUUACUGUACAUGUACUGUAGCAUACGUACUUUGCUUCUGCAAGGAUGGACGUGUAGGCGGUUGGUUUACCUUCAUUUUUGUAAACAAACUGGUCAACCAACAAUGUCUGGUUACUGGUAAAGCUUAUGAAUGUAAUAAACAAAGCAGCUAAACCAUCUUUUUUAUGUUUUAGGUAAUGUGAAUUAGUUUUAUGUGACAAACAGCCUUGAUCCAGGAAUAUGCUUGCUCAAUAAUCAGUACUUUCACUUAUCAUCAAUAUUACCCUGCAGAACCUUCAUCAGUUUUGUAGAUAAAGCUCUUAGGAUUAUGUUCAACCUUGGUUUAUUUUGGGGGGCUGGAGCCUGGACAGAUUAUAAUAAUAACAGUGCUGAUGCUUUUCUUGUUUACAGAUUGCUCAUUGUAGACAUCUCACUCCUUCAGCUCAGCCUUUCCCUCUACUCAUUCCUCCACUCAGCAAUCUGGUUUCUAACUAAAUUAAUCUAUUUGCAAUCUUUUGUCUUCAGCUCAAGAUUAUAAGGCUGAUGCCCUCGCUCCUUCUCCCCUUCCCCCUUCAACCAGGAUUUCAUUCUUUUCCCGUUCAUGCAAAAGACAAGCUGCAUGCUCUCUGGGAACUAUCAAAACUUAUCUAGCAGGAAUUCAAUACCAUUAUCGCCUAGCGUGCAUUCCCUGUCCUCUCUCUUCUAACCCUGCUGUUUGCAUUCUAUUUAGAGGAAUGGCAAAAAGUUUUUCUCAUCCCUCUCCCUCCAGUCGCCCUGUCACUUCAGAUAUUCUCUAUCGCCUCUCAAUUCUGCGGCAAGGUCUUUCUGCACUCUUUAGUUUUCUUCGCUGUGCUGAGUAUGCUGCUCUGCUAGUAUAGCUAGCAUGCCCGGAGUGGGGGGCCAUCUCUCUACAUAUAUAUGUAUAUAUAAUCAUUACCUUUCAUUUCUAACAAUUUUCUCUCUUCUUUGCAAGGGUGUCGCUGUUGCGGGGAGCCAGGGGUCCUCUUUUGGGGGAAUGUGAAGCUCACUUCCCGACCUUAGAGACUGACUACAUCACCUUGCCCUCCGAGAGGAAGGUUCCCGAUGACCAGAGGGGACUCACGGCCAAAUAACUUUAACUAUAUUUCGUUUUCCAUUCUCCUGCUAAAUCUAGUAAUUUGCACCUGUACCAGUCUCCCACUUCGGAGAGCAAAGCCUGCUCCCAACUUUCAAGCUAGUCAUUUGACUCAACCUAUUGAAGGUGGCACUUACAGAUGGGGGAGAGGGAGACCCCAGGCCCUCUUUAUGUGUUUAUUUCUUAUUCUCUUUAUCCCAGUGCUUUUGUUCCCCUGCAUAGGUCAGGAGACUCUCCACUCGGCCUCGUACAUCGUUGAGCCUGACCUGUCUCGACUAGCCAGGAAGACCAUCAGUAUUUCUGUCCUAUAUCUGCAUUUGUAGAUUACUUUUAAAAAUAAAUAAAUAAAAAAACAACAAUAAAGUACGGGGUGCAUUUUUAACAUUUUAAACUGCUUCUUGUGAGCGGUUUGAGGGCUGAUGUGAGGGAUAUGUCAUUUUGUAAAUGAUCUAAUUUAAUGUGCUUUUUAUUUAUUUUGUACAGAAAUCGAACUCUAUAAGGGAAAUAGUGUAUGAUGCAGCCAAUUGCUUUCAGUUCAUCUUUGGGAAAUGUAUGCGAUUUAUUAAUUAAGUAUCAGGUUAAACUGAUGUAAGUACUGACCAUCACCACUGCAGUAACCUUUUUUAGUGUUAAAAUGAAGAACACAU